rnacentral:misc_RNA from 1 species
AAGUCGUAACAAGGUUUCCGUAGGUGAACCUGCGGAAGGAUCAUUACUGAGAGGUCUACUUGAUGUUCCUCACAGUAUGUGCAAUGUUGGGUCACCCUGGUUGACUCUGCCUUUUAGCGCUUGGUCUUUUAGACCGAGUCAGCUUUGUCUAGUAGAGACCCUCCUUUUAGGAGACUUGCUGGACGAAGCGACAAGGCAUAACCUUUGGGGAUAGUGUAAAACUAGCCCCAGUGGUUUCUAUGAAAAAGAAUUGAUGUAAGAAAAAGUUAUUUGUUAACUUGAAGACCUAGUCUUUAAAAACAACUCUUGGCAAUGGAUCUCUUGGUUCUC